rnacentral:rRNA from 1 species
CAGCAGCCACGGUAAUACGAGGGGGGCAAGCGUUGUUCGGAUUUAUUGGGCGUAAAGGGUGCGUCGGCGGUUUGGCAAGUCUUGUGUGAAAUCUUCGGGCUCAACCCGAAGCCUGCACGAGAAACUACCGGGCUUGAGUAUUGGAGAGGUGAGUGGAAUUUCCGGUGUAGCGGUGAAAUGCGUAGAUAUCGGAAGGAACACCUGUGGCGAAAGCGGCUCACUGGACCAUUUCUGACGCUGAUGCACGAAAGCUAGGGGAGCAAACAGGAUUAGAUACCCCCGUAGUCCCUGUCUCUUAUAA